GACAGAGGAUGCAAGCGUUAUCCGGAAUGAUUGGGCGUAAAGCGUCUGUAGGUGGUUUAUUAAGUCUACUGUUAAAGAUCAGGGCUUAACCCUGAGCAGGCAAUAGAAACUAAUAAGCUAGAGUACGGUAGGGGCAGAGGGAAUUCCCGGUGUAGCGGUGAAAUGCGUAGAGAUCGGGGAGAACACCAACGGCGAAAGCACUCUGCUGGGCCGAAACUGACACUGAGAGACGAAAGCUAGGGGAGCAAAUGGG
rnacentral:rRNA from 1 species